rnacentral:rRNA from 1 species
AUACGGAGGAUCCGAGCGUUAUCCGGAUUUAUUGGGUUUAAAGGGUGCGCAGGCGGCCAUUUAAGUCAGCGGUUAAAUCGUGGGGCUCAACCCCAUUCUGCCGUUGAUACUGGGUGGCUUGAUUGCGGUCGAGGUUGGCGGAAUUCGUUGUGUAGCGGUGAAAUGCAUAGAUAUGACGAAGAACACCGAUUGCGUAGGCAGCUGACCAGACCGCAAAUGACGCUCAUGCACGAAAGUGCGGGGAUCGAACAGGAUUGGAUACCCUGGUAGUCCGCACAGUAAACGAUGAAUACUUGUUUUCGGCGAUAUAAUGUCGGAGGCAAAGCGAAAGCGAUAAGUAUUCCACCUGGGGAGUACGCCGGCAACGGUGAAACUCAAAGGAAUUGACGGGG